rnacentral:lncRNA from 1 species
AACAUAUAAAGUGUAGGAAUGUAUUAAGGGCACCAAGAAGAACAAUGACCAGCAGAAACCUCUGAGCCACAGCUAGGAAAAUACUAAGAACUAUGAGGAUGCACAAAUUACAUGUAUGGUCUAAGCAAUGCAGGUUCUGACAGGGAUACUAUUAAGAGGGGUUAUGAUCCUUCAUGAAAAAUAACUCAGCUUGACAUCACUCUGACUUCCUUUAAUUACUGAUGUAAACAAGGUU